GACGUAGGGGGCGAGCGUUGUCCGGAUUUAUUGGGCGUAAAGCGCGCGCAGGCGGCUCGGUAAGUCGGAUGUGAAAACCCGGGGCUCAACCCCGGGCCGUCAUUCGAUACUGCCGAGCUCGAGGCAGGUAGGGGAGAUUGGAAUUCCCGGUGUAGCGGUGAAAUGCGCAGAUAUCGGGAGGAACACCGGUGGCGAAGGCGGAUCUCUGGGCCUGUCCUGACGCUCAGGCGCGAAAGCUGGGGUAGCGAACAGG
rnacentral:rRNA from 1 species